rnacentral:tRNA from 1 species
GGCUGGGUGGUCUAGCUUGGUAUGAUUCCCGCUUUGGGAGUGGGGGAUCGGGGGUUCAAAUCCCUUCCCAGUCA